rnacentral:rRNA from 1 species
UACGAAGGGACCUAGCGUAGUUCGGAAUUACUGGGCUUAAAGAGUUCGUAGGUGGUUGAAAAAGUUAGUGGUGAAAUCCCAGAGCUUAACUCUGGAACUGCCAUUAAAACUUUUCAGCUAGAGUAUGAUAGAGGAAAGCAGAAUUUCUAGUGUGGAGGUGAAAUUCGUAGAUAUUAGAAAGAAUACCAAUUGCGAAGGCAGCUUUCUGGAUCAUUACUGACACUGAGGAACGAAAGCAUGGGUAGCGAAGAGGAUUAGAUACCCUCGUAGUCCAUGCCGUAAACGAUGUGUGUUAGACGUUGGAAAUUUAUUUUCAGUGUCGCAGCGAAAGCGAUAAACACACCGCCUGGGGAGUACGACCGCAAGGUUAAAACUCAAAUGAAUUGACGGGGACCCGCACAAGUAGUGGAGCAUGUGGUUUAAUUCGAAGAUACGCGCAGAACCUUACCAACACUUGACAUGUUCGUCGCGACUCUAAGAGAUUAGAGUUUUCGGUUCGGCCGGACGAAACACAGGUGCUGCAUGGCUGUCGUCAGCUCGUGUCGUGAGAUGUUGGGUUAAGUCCCGCAACGAGCGCAACCCUCACUUUUAGUUGCCAUCAUUAAGUUGGGCACUCUGAAAGAACUGCCAGUGAUAAGCUGGAGGAAGGUGGGGAUGACGUCAAGUCCUCAUGGCCCUUACGUGUUGGGCUACACACGUGCUACAAUGGUAUCUACAACAGGAAGCAAGACUGCGAGGUCAAGCAAAUCCUUAAAAGGUACCUCAGUUCGGAUUGCACUCUGCAACUCGAGUGCAUGAAGCUGGAAUUACUAGUAAUCGUGGAUCAGCGUGCCACGGUGAAUGCGUUCCCGGGUCU